GUUUACAAAAUUUUGGUAUCGUCACUCACCCUACAUACAAACUGGGCCAGGCUGCAGCCAGGGAAGAGGCACAGACAGGGAGGCAGUCAGAGAAAUGGGUACAGAAGAUAGAAUGAAGAGGUAAAAUGGAUAACAAAUAUUUUCAGAUGCUGGUUGUACUGAGGAAGAAGUAUCCCAAGUCUCCUUUCACAGCCUGGACAAAAACUGGAAGCACUGAUGGGGCAACAGGUUCUGAAGUCACUGAUAUUGUGGCCAUCACUACAGCAUCUAUCCUCCUAUGCAGACUCAUCAGGAUGAGCAUUCUUUGUGGAACUUAACCUGUUUUGGAUCAAACUCUCAUGGGAUGGAACCUGUUUAGACAGGUUCAGAAGCAAAGUUUUAUCUCCAGAUAUUGGAUACUGCCUUAGUGAUAUAUUCACAUUUGAGCAAACGGCUGAUUCAGCUAUGGAAGAAUGAGAGGCAGAAGCUGAAGUGAAGCCCAUGGGUCUGAAUGCCAGAAUCCAAUAUGACCACAGUCAACUUUUUAUCGAAUGCCGAUUGUGCUGAUUCAUAAACAGAGGCACAUGGAGAUCUUGAUUUCAGUGAGUUUGCUUGGUGAAAAUUAAAAACAGUGGACAGGUGUUUUGUGGGCUUCACUCAGGUCAAAAAUAAAAGUCUUGCCUUUCGGAUGCAGGCAAUUUGGCACAGCAAUCACACUGAAAAAGCUGUGAAUCACUGUACAACAAAAGAGUAAAAUUUCUAGAAUUUUUUGGGGGGAGUACAA